AGCUCGAGUUUUCUUCAUUAUCGCAUAAAUCUUUCGUGUUUUACUAAAGAUUUCCGUGGAGGAUAACUUUUUGCGAGUGAUCUGUAUUUUUGGAAGCUCUGAUCACAGCAGAGUU
rnacentral:snRNA from 1 species